rnacentral:rRNA from 1 species
CAGCCGCCGCGGUAAUACCGGCGGCCCGAGUUGCGGUCACUAUUAUUGGGCUUAAAGCGUCCGUAGCCGGGUUGGGAAGUCCUCCGGGAAAUCUGGCCGCUUAACGGUCAGAAUGCCGGAGGAUACUCCCAGCCUAGGGAGCGGGGGAGGCCGAGGGGAUUCCCGGAGGAGGGGGGAAAUCCUAUAAUCCCGGGAGGACCACCUGUGGCGAAGGCGCUCGGCUGGAACGCGUCCGACGGUGAGGGACGAAGGCCAGGGGAGCAAACCGGAUUAGAUACCCGGGUAGUCCUGGCUGUAAACGAUGCGGACUUUGUGUCGGACAAGCUAUGAGCUUGUCCGGUGCCGGAGGGAAACCGUUAAGUCCGCCGCCUGGGGAGUACGGCCGCAAGGCUGAAACUUAAAGGAAUUGGCGGG